UGAUAAGAUGGCUGACUUAAGUGGUAAACUGUAAAUUUAUUUAAAGAUUUUUUAUCUUCUUAU
rnacentral:tRNA from 1 species